UACGUAGGGUGCGAGCGUUGUCCGGAAUCACUGGGCGUAAAGCGCGUGUAGGCGGGAAGGCAAGUCUGCUGUGAAAGCGCCUGGCUUAACCGGGCGAGGUCGGCGGAAACUGCCUACCUGGAGGACGGUAGAGGGGGGGUGGAAUUCCCGGUGUAGUGGUGAAAUGCGUAGAUAUGUGGAGGAACACCGAUGGCGAAGGCAGCCCCCCUGGGUCAAGACUGACGCUCAUGCACGAAAGCGUGGGGAGCAAACAGG
rnacentral:rRNA from 1 species